AGCAGAGUGGCCUAGUGGAUAGAGCAUGGUCUUGGAAUCAGAAGAUCAUGGGUUCUAAUCCCAGCUCUGCCA
rnacentral:tRNA from 1 species